rnacentral:rRNA from 1 species
GACAGCAGUCGCCGCGGGAAUACGUAGGUGGCAAGCGUUGUCCGGAAUUAUUGGGCGUAAAGGGCUCGUAGGCGGUUUCUUAAGUCUGAUGUGAAAGCCCCCGGCUCAACCGGGGAGGGUCAUUGGAAACUGGGAAACUUGAGUGCAGAAGAGGAGAGUGGAAUUCCACGUGUAGCGGUGAAAUGCGUAGAGAUGUGGAGGAACACCAGUGGCGAAGGCGACUCACUGGUCUGUAACUGACGCUGAGGAGCGAAAGCGUGGGGAGCGAACAGGAUUAGAUACCCGCGUAGUCCCUGUCUCUUAUAC